CUUGACACCUAGCCUUAUUGAACUCUACCUUCUCCCAUCAUUAACUCCAGAGCUGAGGGUUCUAUGAUUUCCUAAGUUUACUGAUUUGAGGAUUUCCUUAUCAUUCCUUGUCUGCCUUUUUAACUUUUCAGCACAUUUGAAACCAACUCCCAGUAUUAACAUUUUCUGUCUGAUAUAGCAUGGAUUAUAUUCUUUUUCUUGGUUGAACCCUUACUAACCGAUCUUUGGAGUUUUGUAGAACCAUAUAAUUUACUUCAGAUUGAUUGGUAAGAUGCUGGCCAUUAUGCUUGGGUUCUUCUAAAUGAUAGGAUGGGACAUAUUUUUCUGGGGCCAGUCAAUAUUUUUGAGCAAAAUGUUUCAAUUUCAUUUUGCCUAGGGAACAGAUAAUUUGACUGCCAGUGUUCUCUGCUUAUAGUGAGGGAUGGAAAUCGGACCUUGUUUUUUUCCAGCAUAAUUUUUAAUCUAGGGUAUUAAGCUGGUUUUUGUUUUAUACUAGCCUAGUAUUUAUUUCUGUUUAUAGUAUAGGAUGUCCAUGUUAGGUUAAUAAAGUUUGUUGCUGAAACUAGGUAGAGCUUUAUUUUAGGAAAAAUAACAAUAGAAACAGUGCAGAGGAUAUAUUGAAAUAAUAUUGAAAGCAAGGAAAAUAAUUUGCAGUCUAAGGUCCUAAGAGAUGAAAUUAUCCUGAAUUAAGAAUGCUAGUAGAAGAAAAGGAGAAAUCAUGGAUAUGGAUCACAGAGACAGAGAUUAGAAUUAGAAGACAGCAGAGUAUGAAGGAAGACAGUGAUAUAAAUCAGCAUGACCACAUAGGAGCUAUGUUUUCUUGGAUAAAUCAUAGUCUCUAUGCCUU
rnacentral:lncRNA from 1 species